rnacentral:rRNA from 1 species
UCGAGAGUUUGAUCCUGGCUCAGGAUGAACGCUAGCGGCAGGCUUAACACAUGCAAGUCGAGGGGUAGAAGCAGCUUGCUGCUUUGAGACCGGCGCACGGGUGCGUAACGCGUAUACAAUCUACCUUUUACAGAGGGAUAGCCCAGAGAAAUUUGGAUUAAUACCUCAUAGUAUUUUCGAAUGGCAUCAUUUGAUUAUUAAAGUUCCAACGGUAAAAGAUGAGUAUGCGUCCCAUUAGCUAGAUGGUAAGGUAACGGCUUACCAUGGCAACGAUGGGUAGGGGAACUGAGAGGUCAAUCCCCCACACUGGCACUGAGAUACGGGCCAGACUCCUACGGGAGCAGCAGUAGGGAAUAUUGGGCAAUGGACGCAAGUCUGACCCCAGCCCAUGCCGCGUGCAGGAUGAAGGCGUUAUGCGUUGUAAACUGCUUUUAGACAGGAAGAAACGUACUCUUGCGAGAGGUCAUUGACGGUACUGUAUGAA